UUGGGAGGCUUCACUACCGUGCCUCUGAGUGGCUGCGGCGACUUCCCCUCCCCCUGCGCUGUGGCGGGGCACGCGCCUGGGCGCGCACCCGGUCUCGCUGCGUCUUGCACUCUCCUGGGACUUGCUUCUCUUUUCUGCAAGCUGGGACUUGCUGCCCUAGUCCCCGAGGGCUCGCAGCCGGAACUCGAACACGCCGCAACCAACUCAGGCAAGCCAGCUUACAGGAUCAGACAUUCCUCCCAGCCUGGGCCAGGUGACCACCCCAGAGCGGCGGGGCAAGCCGAGGGGAAACUUGCAAUUGGGUCGCCAAGGGUUCAUUUCAGGUCACUUGGUCAUCCUCCUGCCUCCAGGCGAACACCCCAAGCCUUGUAAAGCUAAGGACUUGUAAAGAUCACAGCCUCCUUUCAGAGCAAAGGUCACUAACACCCAGAGAUCCAUCCAGUCAAAGAACGACACAUAUUCAUCCCAUUCGCUUCAGAUGCCAGACCAGCUGAGUGACCAGGACCGACCCCCGUCCAUGUCCCCAUAGGUGUGUGUUUGGGACAGAGGUGGAAAGACACACUGCGAACCCCAAUGGACUUUCACAGGUGCCCUAAUUUCCUGAAUGGUCUGGGGAGGUGGGUGUCACAUGCCCUCUCAACGCAAAAAGGAAGUUGGGCCCAACAGAUAUAAGUAACUCGUUCAGGUUGCUCCCUGUUGGGUCUGAGCUGGAGUCAGAGGGGAGCAACGACGACGACGACGACGACAACAACAACAACAACAACUCAAAAUAGAAGAAAAACAACCCCUUCAACAAACAACCAAACAAAAACCUGCCAGGCAAUUCCAAAAGGGACUGUCAGAUCCAGGGGUCUGGUCUAGGAUAAGGAAUGGCCCUGUUUCUACUUGGUCUACUGUCAGGACGUGGAUUUUGCGGGCCUGGUGUCUGUGAGCUUAAGGCUUCCUCCAGCAUCAGCUUUCCAGAGAUGAGCUGUAACUGUCUCUAUCCAGCCCCCUCCCCACACCUCAGUUCCUAGGAAGACAGGGAUGGAGGAGCACUAGGGUAGGGAUGCACAGUUAAGUAGGCUGGUUCCAAUAAGAACACUGUAGUAUGAGAUAUGUGCUAUUUGUCCAUUCUGCUUUCUUGACACAGGAGGUACAGCGUCUGACUCUAGAGGGAAGUUUGAAAUUUUGCAGCCCAGCCUUGGGCGGAGGGCCCCAUACUUUUUUCAUUUCUCUGCUGACAACGUGAAAGGAGCCUUUGUGGGCUUGAUGGGAGAAGUGAGCAGAACUAACUUUUCCAUGACUCAGCCCUGCUGGGGCUGGGCACAGCUGGGGAGGUGCAAGAAACAACCCUCCUGUAGGGCCAGUUUUAACCUUGUGGCUGAGCUGCCUUCCAACUUUGCUGGUUUGCAAUUAAGGACAGUGAAAAGAGGUUGCUGGCCUUACGUAGGCUGUCUAGGGACUGGGGAGAUGUUUCUUGGUGGGUAACAGCACUUGCUGUGUGUGCCAACUUGACACAAACUGGAGUCAUCUGAGAGAAAGAGAAUUUAAUGGAGAAAUCAUCUCCGUAGUAUCAGGCUGUAGGCUGAUUGAUGUGGGAGGGUCCAGCUCCUUGUGGGUGGUGCCAUCCCUGGGCUGGUGGUCUUGGAUGCUAUAAGAUAGCAGGCUGAGCAAGCCAUAGAGAGCAAGCCAGUACUAAGUAGCCCCACUCCACGGACUCUGUAUCAGCUCCUGCCUCUAGGGUCCUGUCCUAACUUCCUUUGAUGAUAGUCUAUGAUGUAGAAGUAGACGUGAAAUAAACCCUUUCUUCUCCAAGU
rnacentral:sRNA from 1 species